rnacentral:rRNA from 1 species
GUCGACCGCCUGGGGAGUACGGCCGCAAGGUUAAAACUCAAAUGAAUUGACGGGGGCCCGCACAAGCGGUGGAGCAUGUGGUUUAAUUCGAUGCAACGCGAAGAACCUUACCUGGUCUUGACAUCCACGGAAGUUUUCAGAGAUGAGAAUGUGCCUUCGGGAACCGUGAGACAGGUGCUGCAUGGCUGUCGUCAGCUCGUGUUGUGAAAUGUUGGGUUAAGUCCCGCAACGAGCGCAACCCUUAUCCUUUGUUGCCAGCGGUCCGGCCGGGAACUCAAAGGAGACUGCCAGUGAUAAACUGGAGGAAGGUGGGGAUGACGUCAAGUCAUCAUGGCCCUUACGACCAGGGCUACACACGUGCUACAAUGGCGCAUACAAAGAGAAGCGACCUCGCGAGAGCAAGCGGACCUCAUAAAGUGCGUCGUAGUCCGGAUUGGAGUCUGCAACUCGACUCCAUGAAGUCGGAAUCGCUAGUAAUCGUGGAUCAGAAUGCCACGGUGAAUACGUUCCCGGGCCUUGUACACACCGCCCGUCACACCAUGGGAGUGGGUUACAAAAGAAGUAGGUAGCUUAACCUUCGGGAGGGCGCUUACCACUUUGUGAUUCAUGACUGGGGUGAAGUCGUAACAAGGUAACCGUAGGGGAACCUGCGGUUG